CAAAACUUUCAGUUAUUGACUUUUGCCAUGGCUUGUUGAAAAUGUACAUAUACACCCACCUCACACAAAUUUCCAUGGAAGUCAUACGUUUUCAUAAAAUAAGCAGCCUGAACCCUGAACCUAUGCAAAUAGGCAUGUAAAAAGCACUAACUUAUCCGAUCUAUGCGCAAGUUAGAUAUCAGAAGAAAAUGACUAUUGCAAACGGCUACGUGAAUUCUUUCACAAUGCCGUUUUGGCCUGCAGCGUAAUGUGAGAGAUGAUAUGCACAGGAGGCCGUGAAAGGUCUCUAUGUGCUCCGUUUAUGCGGGGCGCAGUGCUCAUAACGAUUGAUUUGCAGUAUGUUUGGGGUUUCUAAAUCUGCAACAUGGUGUGUUUUAUAACCCAGGGAAUGAGCUGUGAGAAUACUCUGAACCGAGGCACUUACUGUAUUACAAAAAAUUUAUGAAACUCCGAAUUUCAUAUGGAAAUGUGCCAACUUGGCUGAUUGAUUUCUUUAUAGAUCCAUUAGAGGUGAUGAUUUAUGAGCAUCUUGGAAGAUCUCGCAAAUUUAAACAAAUUUAGCCACGGACAACUGAUAAAUAGAUAUUCAAAGUAAUAAAACAAAAACAAAUAAUGUUUAUUUAAUAUUGGCAACCUGAUGGAAUCAAAUAACAAGUGUCAAGGUUGUCCCGCGGGACAACUGCGUACUAUUCUGAGUAAAGUGAAUUGAAAAUAGCACGUGGCACUGGGCUCUUGCUCAAGGCUACUAUUCUCCUUCAGCAGCUCCGUAGAUGACAAACAGAAGAAAGUAGUAUCAGGAGCAGACACUCGUCAAUGCAGAGAAACCCUGACACUGCCUCCAAUCAAAGCGGAAGGAAAAGUCAUACUUGGCCUGGUCGGAUUUUCCCCGUUUUCCACAAAUCCCGCUGCAGCGUGGCGUAAUUGAAAACAGGGAGAGAGAGAGGGAAGGAAACGUUCAAGAUUCUGGAUGAGGGACAGAGCGGAUGGAGAAGGGGAAAGGCUGGAUACAAAGGGAGAGAGAGGAACUCAAGUGCUUGAACGCAGGAUCCAUCUGUUCGGUGUAUCGUCUGAUUUCCCCCUCCCAGCACCCUCCUCUUUCUCUUUUUCCUCCCUCACCUCCCAUUAAAACCACGUAAGCCUGAUUUAUCAAGAUUGGCUCUCAGGUAUGUGUGUGUGUGUGUGUUUGUGUGUGUGUGUGUGUGUGUGUGUGUGUGUGUGUGUGUGUGUGUGGUGUGUGUGUGUGUGUUGUGUGUGUGUGUGUGUGUGUGUGUGUGUGUGUGUGUGUGUGUGUGUGUGUGUUUCUUAACAGAACUGAGGGAACGUAUAACUGUGUUUCAUUACCGCUGUAAGAGACGUUAAGAUAAUCAUUCAAAUCGCUCAGAGUCGUACCCCACCCGGCUGCUAAUUCAAUCUGCCCACAGCAAAACAUGCCACUUUUUUUUUUCAACCUAUUUUUAUAGGCUUAUUUGAACAUUAAUUCAUCUCACCUGUUAUGUUUGUUUAUUUGACUUAAAAUGAAUUGUAACUGAAUGCAUGGAGAUGGAAGUACCUGUGUUCCUGAAAGUUUAUGUUCAAAAUGGUAAGUAAACCAAAACACCCUUAAACAAGUUAAUCUUUUGGUAUUUUUUAGCAUUAUUUAUUUAAUCUGUGUGUGUGUGUGUGUGUGUGUGUGUGUGUGUGUGUGUGUGUGUGUGUGUGUGUGUGUGUGUGUGUCGUUUUAGUUAUAUUAUUAUUAUUAUCGUGUGUGUGUGUGUGUGUGUGUGUGUGUGUGUGUGUGUGUGUGUGUGUGUGUGUGUGUGUGUGUGUGUGUUACACUAUCUGACCCUCAAGCACGCAGCACAUGCUGCAGGUUUCCAUCUCUAUUUGAUCCUGGGCACAUGGCCAGCUCUCUCCUAGGUCCACAGCUAAAAACAAACAAACCUCAGUGUACCAUACACAGCUACAAGCAGCCGCCACCACAACCUGUUCGCCUUCCCCACCAGGUAGUCUAGUGUGCUCCAGCCCUGUCAAAACGUCCCGCUUUUAAUGGCCAUCCAACACUCUAAUUCAGGCAGUCUUCUGACUCCUAAUUCUCAUUCUUUUUCUCUCUCGCUUUCCCACCCUCUUGUGUGUCAGAGUGACAAAGGCCUUUGAACGAGGUUCUUAAAUGUGAAACACUCUGUCAUACAAAGCCAGUGAGGACGAGGCGGUGUAAUGCAGGGACGGCCGUAACGAGCGGAACGAGGGUGACAAUUAAGACCAAACAAAAAUAAAAAUAGCGUCACUGCUGCCAUGGUAUUAAAAACAGUGACAUUUACAGACCUGUAUUUAAUUACCAGCUCACGCUGUUCGCCAGGUACCCCAUUACACCAUGUGAUAAAUCUUUCAUAGCUGGAAGUGUAUGUGUAUGUGUGUGUUGGGUCGGGUGGUGUUCUACAAAGAUGAAUGUAUAUAGGCAUUGAUCAGCAAAAUAAAUAUAUGUACAUAGGAAGAAAGAAAGACAAAUAUUUGGGUAAGGAGCAGGGAGCCCCUUGAAAGGUGCAUGAAUGCUGAGUGUGUGUAAGAGCGUUUGUUUUUGCAUGGUGGUGGUGCCUAUUGAGGGACUGUAGCUGGCGGCUAUUCGCUGUCAGUAGACUUUCUGUAGAUGCUGCUUUCCAGCACUGUAGUUCUGUUUUCAAUGGAAGUGGAGUCGAUCUCGCCUCCACUAUUUUUUUGUGUCCAGAGCCAAAAGCAUGGAGAACAUUUUAAGCGUGUUCAUGGGCUAUCAUCACCCAUAUGCUUGUGGUCUUGAUGGCACGAGCAUGUCAACAUUUUAAGUACGUGUUCAUGGCUAUCAUCAC
rnacentral:lncRNA from 1 species